rnacentral:rRNA from 1 species
UACGGGGGGGGCAAGCGUUGUUCGGAAUUACUGGGCGUAAAGCGCACGUAGGCGGCUUUGUAAGUUAGAGGUGAAAGCCCGGGGCUCAACUCCGGAAUUGCCUUUAAGACUGCAUCGCUCGAAUUGUGGAGAGGUAAGUGGAAUUCCGAGUGUAGAGGUGAAAUUCGUAGAUAUUCGGAAGAACACCAGUGGCGAAGGCGACUUACUGGACACAUAUUGACGCUGAGGUGCGAAAGCGUGGGGAGCAAACAGG